UUUAGCAGCCAUAACACCCUCUAACUCACAACUGACAACCCAGUGAAACUAAGUAGGUGUGAGCCUGGUCAGUAUCUGGAUGGGAGACCUCCUUGGAAAGCUCAGGUUUCUGCUGGAA
rnacentral:rRNA from 1 species